ensembl:snRNA Gm23665 U7 small nuclear RNA
AGCUGUUAUUCUUCUUUUAGAGUUUGUCUAGCAUGUUUUCUGACAUUGGGUGGAAAACCCAA